GAGUUUGAUCCUGGCUCAGAACGAACGCUGGCGGCAGGCCUCAAACAUGCAAGUCUAGGGGGUAGCAAUACCACCGGCGGACGGGUGCGUAACACGUGGGAAUAUACCUUUUGGUUCGGAACAACGCAGGGAAACUUGCGCUAAUACCGAAUGUGCCCUUACGGGGAAAGAUUUAUCGCCAAAGGAUUAGCCCGCGUCCGAUUAGCUAGUUGGUGAGGUAAUGGCUCACCAAGGCUCCGAUCGGUAGCUGUUCUGAGAGGAAGAUCAGCCACACUGGGACUGAGACACGGCCCAGACUCCUACGGGAGGCAGCAGUUGGGAAUCUUGGACAAUGGGGGAAACCCUGAUCCAGCCAUGCCGCGUGAGUGAUGAAGGCCUUC
rnacentral:rRNA from 1 species